CGUAUAUUAAAGUUGUUGCAGUUAAAAAGCUCGUAGUUGAACUUUGGGCUUGGUUGGCCGGUCCGCCUUUUUGGCGAGUACUGGACCCAACCGAGCCUUUCCUUCUGGCUAACCAUUCGCCCUUGUGGUGUUUGGCGAACCAGGACUUUUACUUUGAAAAAAUUAGAGUGUUCAAAGCAGGCCUUUGCUCGAAUAUAUUAGCAUGGAAUAAUAGAAUAGGACGUUAUGGUUCUAUUUUGUUGGUUUCUAGGACCAUCGUAAUGAUUAAUAGGGACGGUCGGGGGCAUCAGUAUUCAGUUGUCAGAGGUGAAAUUCUUAGAUUUACUGAAGACUAACUACUGCGAAAGCAUUUGCCAAGGACGUUUUCAUUAAUCAAGAACGAAAGUUAGGGGAUCGAAGAUGAUCAGAUACCGUCGUAGUCU
rnacentral:rRNA from 1 species